UACGUAGGGUGCGAGCGUUACUCGGAAUUACUGGGCGUAAAGGGUGCGCAGGCGGUUUUGUAAGCCAGAUGUGAAAUCCCCGGGCUUAACCUGGGAAUGGCAUUUGGGACUGCAAGGCUAGAGUGUGGCAGAGGAGACUGGAAUUCCUGGUGUAGCAGUGAAAUGCGUAGAUAUCAGGAGGAAUACCGAUGGCGAAGGCAGGUCUCUGGGCUGACACUGACGCUCAUGCACGAAAGCGUGGGGAGCAAACAGG
rnacentral:rRNA from 1 species